UAGUCCACGCCGUAAACGAUGUCUGCUAGCCGUUGGCGACUUUAUGUUGCUAGUGGCGAAGCUAACGCGAUAAGCAGACCGCCUGGGGAGUACGGCCGCAAGGUUAAAACUCAAAUGAAUUGACGGGGGCCCGCACAAGCGGUGGAGCAUGUGGUUUAAUUCGAUGCAACGCGAAGAACCUUACCAGGCCUUGACAUCCCGAGAAGUCGCUAGAGAUAGCUUCGUGCCUUCGGGCACUCGGUGACAGGUGCUGCAUGGCUGUCGUCAGCUCGUGUCGUGAGAUGUUGGGUUAAGUCCCGUAACGAGCGCAACCCUUAUCCUUAGUUGCCAUCAUUUAGUUGGGCUCUCUAAGGAGACUGCCGGGGUCAACCCGGAGGAAGGUGGGGAUGACGUCAAGUCCUCAUGGCCCUUAUGUCCUGGGCUACACACGUGCUACAAUGGUUGAUACAAAGCGCUGCGAAGCCGCGAGGUGGAGCGAAUCGCAAAAAGCCAG
rnacentral:rRNA from 1 species